GUAGGGAAUAUUGCGCAAUGGACGAAAGUCUGACGCAGCGACGCCGCGUGAGUGAUGAAGGCCUUAGGGUCGUAAAGCUCUGUUGAAUGGGAAGAAAAAAAUGACGGUACCAUUCGAGGAAGGACCGGCUAACUUCGUGCCAGCAGCCGCGGUAAUACGAGGGGUCCUAGCGUUGUUCGGAAUCAUUGGGCGUAAAGGGUGUGUAGGUGGCCAUGUAAGUCAGGUGUGAAAGCCACGGGCUCAACCCGGGAAGUGCACUUGAUACUGCGUGGCUUGAGUACCGAAGAGGGUAGUGGAAUUCCAGGGGUAGUGGUGAAAUACGUAGAUAUCUGGAGGAACACCGGUGGCGAAGGCGGCUACCUGGUCGAGUACUGACACUGAGACACGAAAGCAUGGGGAUCAAACAGAAUUAGAUACCCCAGUAGUCC
rnacentral:rRNA from 1 species